AACGAACGCUGGCGGCAUGCCUAACACAUGCAAGUCGAACGAGAACUUCGGGUCUAGUGGCGACGGGGUGCGUACCGCGUGGGAACCUGCCAUUAGGUUCGGAAUAACUCUCCGAAAGGGGUGCUAAUCUCGGAUAAUGUCUUCGGACGAAAGAUUUAUCGCUUGUGGAUGGGCGCGAGUUGGAUUAGCUAGUUGGUAGGGUAAAAGCUUGCCAAGGCGACGAUCCAUAGCUGGUCUGAGAGGAUGAUCAGCCACACUGGGACUGAGACACGGCCCAGACUCCUACGAGAGGCAGCAGUGGUGGAUAUAGGACAGUGGGCGAAAGGCUGAUCCAGCGAGGCCGCGUGAGUGAUGUAGGCCUUGGGGUUGUAAAGCUCUAUUACCCAGGAUGAUAAUGACAGUACCUGGAGAAUAAGCUCCGGCUAACUCCGUG
rnacentral:rRNA from 1 species